rnacentral:rRNA from 1 species
ACUUAAAUUGAAGAGUUUGAUCAUGGCUCAGAUUGAACGCUGGCGGCAGGCCUAACACAUGCAAGUCGAACGGUAACAGGAAGCAGCUUG